GAGCCCCACGGACCCACACAGUAUUUUUUUAUUAUUAUUAUUUCGCAUUUCCAGAAACGCCCACCCAUGCCUCCGACAAGAAAAUAAUCAAACAGCACAAUGUCCCACUGGAAAUGGAGUUCAUGCUUAAGGGAAAUGAGUCUUAAUAAAGGAAGACAAUGUCCCUAAGCAGAUGUGAGAAGGGUCAUCUCAACCUGCUCUGAACCUAUGGGGCAGUGUGACACCUAACGCAACUUCUAAUGAAAAAGUGUGUGAACUGACUCAUUGACCUGCUGCUUGCUUGUGAGAAAGCUUGCAGCUCUACAAUGGGGGAACAAUCCUUGUCUCCAAGAGUCUGUUCAACUUUAACAGCUGACGUACCAGGAAGCAGAACAGAACAGAACAUUGGCACCUGAGCUGCCUUUAUCUAAGCCAGCCUUCGCCAGCAUGGUUGGCACUAAGGUCUGCUGCCCUCCGAAACGAAACCAUAUGUCCACCACACUAUCACAAGGAAUUCUAGGAAAGCCAGCAUAAGCCACUCACUAUCUAAAGAGCUGGACCAGGUUGCAGCAAAAUUCAGUGCAAGUUCCACCUCUAUAAGUUCCUCCCAGUUGCGGUUUCCCAUAUGUAUAGAAUUAGAUUAUCAGUGAAUCUGAUUAAAACUGCGAGGUGUCGUGUAAAUUAUAAAUGCUUUCUACAUAUCAUAAAUAGUAACGUUCUCAGAAUGUUUUCAUGCAUUGGAUAAAUCCCAGAAGCAAGCAGGGUUCCUCAAGAGAGAUGGGUGGCGUGCUCAAGAAAAAGUGGGCUCUCUAUGAGGUGGUGCAAGUCAAAAUGGGGAGCACUGCAAGCACUUCAAGGUAAACUGGCAAUCCAGACAGGGGGAUGCGGGGAAGUUUCAGGCUGGAAUCU